rnacentral:lncRNA from 1 species
AAUCCAUUAAUGCUUCUUUAAUGGUUGCCUUUUUUUUACGGAAACAGAGAGCAAGCUACUAAUAAAUCGGUGAUGAAUCUCUGCUAAUCGAUUGUAAAAUGGAGGUUUCGAGUAUUGUUCUUGGCUUUGAUUAUUCUAAAGGAAAUAAGGAAUUGUACCCAAAAAAUGCAGAAAGUGUUACUAUUAGGCAAUAUUGGAAAAUGACGCAACAAGAUAUACGAUGUUGAUCACUCACUAUGGAUGAUGGUAAUGAAUCAAAUCUUUAUUACAUAGGCAUGAUGGCUAGAUGAGAACCCAACACAACUACAACAACAGAAAAGAGACAGAAUGACUAGAGCUAGAAAAAGAAAGAACAUUGAAACUCAAAGAGGGAGCAAAUCUAUGAAAAUAGGGUUGCAAGCGCCUAAAUGAAAGAAGCAGACUCGAAAUGGAAGGGCAAUUUCAAUUCUUGUUGAACUACAUGCUAAUAAAAUUCUUAGCUAGUUACGAAUGUUAUCUUGGAUACUAAUGUUAAGUUGUUAAAUCUCUACAUGCUAUAUUAAAGGAUUCGCGUGUGCUGGAUUUCUAAGGAGCAGCGAUUAGCAUUCAUUAGUGAAUAAUGGCGAUUUG